GCCCGAAGCCGUCAUCGCUGUUGAGUGAAAGGCUGAAGCAUUAAAUCCAUCUCGCGAUGAGACCGGAGCACGGCCACAGGAACAGUAGGCCCGUGUUGGUCGAUUUGUUUGAUAAAAAGAGGCGCGUAACGCUUUUCGAAGUUCCAGAUGUAGGAGAGAAAAUCCAUAUCAGGCAAGGGCUCUGGACAACCCUCAGCCAUUUCCGGUCGGACU
rnacentral:sRNA from 1 species